rnacentral:rRNA from 1 species
CCCUUAGAUGUUCUGGGCCGCACACGCGCUACACUGAAGGAGGCAGCGUGUACUCCUGGAUCGAAAGAUUUGGGUAACCCGCGAAUCUCCUUCGUGCUAGGGAUUGAGGUUUGCAAUUAUCCUUCAUGAACGAGGAAUUCCCAGUAAGUGCAAGUCAUAAGCUUGCGCUGACUACGUCCCUGCCCUUUGUACACACCGCCCGUCGCUACUACCGAUUGAAUGAUUUAGUGAGGACUUCGGACUGGGACCAAUGCGGCUUUCGGGCUGCGUCGGUAUUCUGGAAAGACGUCCAAACUGUAUCAUUUAGAGGAAGUAAAAGUCGUAACA